rnacentral:rRNA from 1 species
CCUACGGGAGGCAGCAGUGAGGAAUAUUGGUCAAUGGGCGCGAGCCUGAACCAGCCAAGUAGCGUGAAGGAUGACUGCCCUACGGGUUGUAAACUUCUUUUAUAAAGGAAUAAAGUGAGGCACGUGUGCCUUUUUGUAUGUACUUUAUGAAUAAGGAUCGGCUAACUCCGUGACAGCAGCCGCGGUAAUACGGAGGAUCCGAGCGUUAUCCGGAUUUAGUGGGUUUCAAGGGAGCGUAGAGGGGUUGUUAAGUCAGUUGUGAAAGUUUGCGGCUCAACCGUAAAAUUGCAAUUGAUACUGGCAGUCUUGCGUACAGUUGCGGUAGGCGGAAUUCGUUGUGUAGCGGU